UACGGAGGAUCCGAGCGUUAUCCGGAAUUAUUGGGUUUAAAGGGUGCGUAGGCGGCCAUUUAAGUCAGCGGUGAAAUUUUGCAGCUUAACUGUAACAGUGCCGUUGAUACUGUUUGGCUAGGAUUUGGUUGUAGUGUGCGGAAUGUGUGGUGUAGCGGUGAAAUGCUUAGAUAUCACACAGAACACCGAUUGCGAAGGCAGCACACUAAGUCAUUAUUGACGCUGAGGCACGAAAGUGUAGGGAUCAAACAGGAUUAGA
rnacentral:rRNA from 1 species